rnacentral:rRNA from 1 species
UAGAUGCGAGAGUAGAGCAUAUCAAUAAGCGGAGGAAAAGAAACUAACUAAGGAUUCCCUUAGUAACGGCGAGUGAAGCGGGAAGAGCUCAAAUUUGAAAUCUUCAAGGUUCUACCUUGACGAAUUGUAGUUUAUAGAAGUGUUUUCUGUUAGUAGAGUGGCAAAAGUUCUUUGGAAUAGGACAUCAUAGAGGGUGAGAAUCCCGUAUUUGGUCAUUCUUUCUAGCUUUGUGAUACACUUUCAACGAGUCGGAUUGUUUGGGAAUGCAGUCCAAAAUGGGUGGUAAAUUUCAUCUAAAGCUAGAUAUUGGCGAGAGACCGAUAGCGAACAAGUACCGUGAGGGAAAGAUGAAAAGAACUUUGAAAAGAGAGUUAAACAGUACAUGAAAUUGUCAAAAGGGAAGCGUUUGACAUCAGUGUUGUUUAGUCGAAAAUCAAUUCAAUAAUUUUUGAUUUUAAGUAGUAUUGACUUCAUCAGCUUGCUGCUUUCUUUUCGAAAAUUAUUGAAUGCACUUUUCAGUUAACAAGUCAACAUCAAUUUCUUUUGUUGUAAAAGGGUAAGAGGAAGGUGGCUUACGCUUCGGCGUAAGUGUUUAUAGCCUUUUACCUCUGCAAUCGGAGAGAUUGAGGUCAGCAGCGUAGACUCCUUCGGGGGUUAGAUACACUUGUGCUAAGCUAUAGCCUUGUAUAGACAACUUGUUGACUAUGCUCAGUCAUGUAGCUUACUCGCAUGUGCUAUUUUACCUACGCUUAGGAUGUUGACACACGCGCGUGCUCG